CAACAGUACUUAGACAAGACUCCCUUGUGCUGGGGAAUACCUGACUUAGAAAACCUGUGGUGCUCAUCCAAGCUCAGCAUUCAAGGAUAUCAAAGAAUGAGAAGUAAUGUCUCAGCCCUAGCUGAGCUCACCAGCGCUAAAGUGAAGUCACUUGUCCUAAAGGCCCAUAUCGCUGAAAGACUACUUAAGAUGGUAUAUGGAUUACCUUGAACUUCUCUAAUUUAUAUGCAUAUCUUUGAACAGCCCACAUGAGAUCAUUCAUACAUUCUACAGAUACAGAUACAGAUACUGGCUCUGAUAUACAGCAUCAGCAAAAGCCUUGGAUGAUGUGAAUCAUUUGUUCUAAGAUACGUAUGGGCAGAAUGUGAAUAGAAGACUAAAGGGCUUUUAUGCUGCCCAUCAGAAAAUCAAAUGAUGUCCAGAAAAGGGAAUGAGUGAAAAACAGAAGGAAAUGCAUUAUCUACAACACAAGCCAAUGUACAUUUUGCUCUAUGAAUCCAUCAGCCAAAGUUCAGAGGGCUUUUAGAUGGGAAAGCAAGAAUUAACAAAGAGAGCAGAAAGACUAUUUCAUGCACGAACCUGAUAAUCUUUCCACCUUCUUUUAUUU